rnacentral:rRNA from 1 species
UACGUAGGGUGCGAGCGUUGUCCGGAAUUAUUGGGCGUAAAGGGCUCGUAGGCGGUUUGUCACGUCGGGAGUGAAAACUCGGGGCUCAACCCCGAGCCUGCUUCCGAUACGGGCAGACUAGAGGUAAGCAGGGGAGAAUGGAAUUCCUGGUGUAGCGGUGAAAUGCGCAGAUAUCAGGAGGAACACCGGUGGCGAAGGCGGUUCUCUGGGCAUUACCUGACGCUGAGGAGCGAAAGUGUGGGGAGCGAACAGG